rnacentral:rRNA from 1 species
AAUCUGGCUCUCGGGCCAGUUUUUUGGUGAUUCACAAUAACUCGAUUUCGAAGCGGAUCGCAUGGCCUAGCGCCGGCGACAGUUCAUUCAAAUUUCUGCCCUAUCAACUUUGGAUGGUAGUGUAGUGGACUACCAUGGUGAUAACGGGUAACGGGGGAUUAGGGUUCGAUUCCGGAGAGGGAGCCUGAGAGAUGGCUACCACUUCCAAGGAAGGCAGCAGGCACGAAAAUUACCCAAUGCAGACUCUGCGAGGUAGUGAGGAGAAAUAACAAUGCAGUCCUUGACAAAAGGAUUGCAAUUGGAAUGAGUACAAUUCAAAAACCUUAACGAGGAUCAAUUAGAGGACAAGUCUGGUGCCAGCACCCGCGGUAAUUCCAGCUCUAAUAGCGUAUAUUAAUUUGUUGCAGUUAAAAAGCUCGUAGUUGGAUCUCGACGCGGGUCAUUUUAAUGGGCCGGUCUGCUAGCCUUUUUGCCUGAAAGGGUGGGGGGUUGGUGUGCACUGUCCAUCCCGCGUCAUUAUUUGCCUAGAUCGGUAGUUGUCUGCCCUUAACUGGGUGGGCUUCUUGCCCUAGGCCGUUUACCUUGAAUAAAUUAGAGUGUUCAAAGCAGGCCAGUUUUGGCCUUUGUAUAUACCAGCAUGGGAUAAUAAAAUAAGAUGGGAAUCUUAUUUUGUUGGUUUUGAGGGUUCCUGUAAUGAUCAAUAGGAGUAGACGGGGGUAUUCAUAUUCCGUUGUCAGAGGUGAAAUUCUUGGAUUUUCGGAAGAUGAACAGGUGCGAAAGCGUCUACCAAGCUCAUCUCCAUUGAUCAAGAACGAAAGUUAAGGGAUCGAAGACGAUCAGAUACCGUCGUAGUCUUAACUAUAAACGAUGCCGACCAGGGAUUGUAAGACGUUGAUAUGAAAGACUCUUGCAGCACCUUAUGAGAAAUCAUAAGUCUUUGGGUUCUGGGGGGAGUAUGGUCGCAAGGCUGAAACUUAAAGGAAUUGACGGAAGGGCACCACCAGGAGUGGAGCCUGCGGCUUAAUUUGACUCAACACGGGAAAACUCACCAGGUCCAGACAUGGGGAGGAUGGACAGAUUGAUAGCUCUUUCUUGAUUCUAUGGGCGGUGGUGCAUGGCCGUUCUUAGUUGGUGGAGUGAUUUGUCUGGUUAAUUCCGAUAACGAACGAGACCUCAACUUGCUAAAUAGUCGCACUAGUCUUCUAAACGGGUGAAUCAGAUUGUUUUCUGCCAGGACCUUUAGUUCUUCGGGAUUAGGGGGCUUGGUAGACGGUCUGUGGAUCCCUGAUGUAUUGGUGUUCGACUUCUUAGAAGGACAAAUCACAUUGAAGUGAUGGGAAGUUUGAGGCAAUAACAGGUCUGUGAUGCCCUUAGAUGUCCUGGGCUGCACGCGCGCUACACUGACUGGCAUAGCAAGUACAUUUACCUUGGCCUAUAGGUCUGGGUAAUCUCUAAAUGUCAGUCGUGAUGGGGAUAGAUAAUUGUAAUUAUUUGUCUUCAACGAGGAAUUCCUAGUAAGUACAAGUCAUCAGCUUGUGCUGAUUACGUCCCUGCCCUUUGUACACACCGCCCGUCGCUCCUACCGAUUGAAUGAUCCGAUGAAGGCU